UACGUAGGGACCGAGCGUUGUCCGGAAUCAUUGGGCGUAAAGAGCGUGUAGGCGGCCUUUUAAGUCCUGCGUGAAAUCCUGCGGCUCAACCGCAGACGGUCGUGGGAAACUGGAAGGCUAGAGUGCGGGAGAGGAGAGUGGAAUUCCCGGUGUAGCGGUGAAAUGCGCAGAUAUCAGGAAGAACACCCGUGGCGAAGGCGGCUCUCUGGGACGGUACUGACGCUGAGACGCGAAAGCGUGGGGAGCGAACAGG
rnacentral:rRNA from 1 species